rnacentral:tRNA from 10 species
GCGCGCGCCAGCUGGUGGUGCUCCCGGACUUCAAGCCCCUCAAGGGGUGCCCG